rnacentral:rRNA from 1 species
AUACGUAGGUGGCAAGCGUUGUCCGGAUUUACUGGGCGUAAAGGGAGCGUAGGUGGAUAUUUAAGUGGGAUGUGAAAUACUCGGGCUUAACCUGGGUGCUGCAUUCCAAACUGGUUAUCUAGAGUGCAGGAGAGGAAAGUAGAAUUCCUGGUGUAGCGGUGAAAUGCGUAGAGAUCAGGAGGAAUACCAGUGGCGAAGGCGGCUUGCUGGACUGUAACUGACACUGAGGCGCGAAAGCGUGGGGAGCAAACAGGAUUAGAUGCCCUGGUAGUCCACGCCGUAAACGAUGAAUACUAGGUGUGGGGGUUGUCAUGACCUCUGUGCCGCCGCUAACGCAUUAAGUAUUCCGCCUGGGGAGUACGGUCGCAAGAUUGA